AACGUAGGAGACAAACGUUAUCCGGAGUUACUGGGCGUAAAGGGCGUGUAGGUGGUAUCGUAAGUCUGGCGUGAAAUUUCUCGGCUUAACCGAGGCAGGUCGUCGGAUACUGCGAGGCUAGAGGACGGUAGAGGCGUGUGGAAUUCCGGGUGUAGUGGUGAAAUGCGUAGAGAUCCGGAGGAACACCAGUGGCGAAAGCGACUUUCUGGUCCUUAACUGACGCUGAGGCGCGAAAGCAUGGGGAGCGAACGGG
rnacentral:rRNA from 1 species